UACGAGUGCCCCGAGCGUUAUCCGGAAUUAUUGGGCGUAAAGGAUGCGUAGAUGGUUCAGUAAGUUACUGGUGGGAAAUCGAGGCCCAACCUCGUGGAAGUUAGUAAUACUGUUGAACUUGAGUGCAGGAGAGGUUAACGGAACUUCAUGUGGAGCGGUAAAAUGCGUAGAUAUAUGAAAGAACAUCAAUAUGGCGAAGGCAGUUAACUAUUCUGCUACUGACAUUGAGGCAUGAAAGCGUGGGGAGCAAAACGG
rnacentral:rRNA from 1 species